AGCUUUGUGCAGUGGCAGUAUCAUAGCCAAUCAAAUCUAUCAGAGGCAUCAAAUUUCCUAACUGAGAAAUUUUCCCAAUAUCCUGCCAUGACGACUUGAACUAUAGUUAGCAUUGGCAAUAUUUGAUAGUUUCUAUGGAGA